UCGAGAUUCCAAACCCUAAUGAGAAUCCCGGCCUCCCGGGGACCAAUUAAUCAAUAUAUCUUGCAAAAAAAACCUUCCUCCCAAUUUUCAAUGCAUUGAGUUGCUCUAGCCACAGGAAUUCAUGGGGGCUUCGCGGCUGAAACGCAAGAAGGUGCGUGACGAUGCUGAAGAUAGGAUCAGCAACCUUCCAGACUCUGUUCUCUGUUACAUACUCUCUUUUCUGCCCACAAAAGAUGCAGGCAGAACCAGCAUCUUAUCCACCCGCUGGAAGUACCUCUUCGUCUCCAGCCCUAAUCUCGAUUUCGACGAUUCUUUGCGCGUACACCCACUCGAAGUUGACUGCGGCAGGGAGUCUCGUCGUAGUUUCGUGAACUUCGUGUACAGAGUGCUGGCUCUGCGUAGUUCGUUGCACAUGAAUCGGUUUCGUCUUAAAUGCGAUGUGAACGACGAUGAUCCACAUGUUAAUACUUGGGUAUCGGCUGUUGCUCGCUGUAAUGUUCGAGAACUUGAGCUUAAGCUUGAUGUGACGAAUGAUUUGACAAAAGACACAAACUUGGACUUGCUGCCUUGCGAUCUUCUAACUUGUAGAACGCUAGCUGUUCUAAAACUGGAAGUGAAUGGCGACCUCAAUGUUCCCAGUGAUGUUUCUUUUCCGAGUCUGAAGACCCUUCAUCUUAAAUUUCUCUUUCUUGAUUAUGAAUCCUUUAAGAGGGUCUUAUCCGGCUGUCCUGUGCUCGAAGAUUUGCUUACAUUUUACUGUAGGUUUAUCCCGAAGGUACAAGUUUUUGAUAUUUCAAUUCCUACCCUUAAAAGGCUUACAUUGGGGUUGCAAUAUUUGUCAACUGGAGGUGAAGUUUGUGAGAGUGAAGUUGUAGUUGAUGCUCCAUGUCUUCAAUACCUCCGGUACUCGGGUAAUGUGGCCAAACGCUAUGCUUUUAAGGGGCUAACCUCCCCAGCUGAAGUUCAUUUAUGCAUUACCCAGGAUAGAUUAUCUUCGGAUCAGCAGCUAAUUAAACUUUUUGAAGCAAUCUCCAAGGUGGAAUCUCUUCAUUUGUCCGAAAAUGCUGUGUGGGUUCUUGAAGUUAAUCAAUGCUGGCUGCCUGCAUUUCCUAACUUGACCCGUUUGGAGCUUGAUACUUACUCUAGCUGUAGGUUCGUUCUACUGCCAGAGUUACUAUAUUGUUCUCCUAAUCUCAAAGUGCUAGUCAUUGGGAGGGUGGUUUUUCUAGAUGUCAAAGGAGAUAUGAUUUCAUCCCGGACGGCUAGCUGUUUGUCAUCUCAUCUCAAGGAAAUUGAACUAAAGGAAUUCAAUGGGAAGAAUGAUGAACUGGAACUGGUAGAGUAUUUUUUAGAGAGAGCAGAGGUUUUGGAGAAGAUGACGAUUAGUUUCUUUGCUCCAAGGUGCCCUCGGAAGGAGUUUUAUAUCGGCAAAAAACUUUUGACAAUUCCAAGGCGAUCAAAGACCUGUCGCAUCAUCCUCACCUGAAAGAACUAAAAGAUAAAACAAAAAUCUAAAGCUUUUGUAUUAUGCAAUUGAAGCUGUGUAAAAGAAGAAUUGCAAGUGAAUGAAGCUGAUAUGAUCAUGGACACAAUAGGAACGUACUGUCCAAGGACAUGGAUUUGGAGUUUGGCUCCAGGGCAUUGCUACAAAAGGGGUUCUGAUUUUGCAAUAGUGAUUGUUUUGUGGUGAACCUACAGCGAGGUGAGUGUUCCAGCCAUGGUUAUUUGUAUCUCUCUGGUGGAAAUGGUGAAGGCCUGUCUUUCUAUAUAAUCGUGACUUGGAUCAAAAGAUUAUUUUGGUUUGAUGGUGGCGAAGUGAAUUGUACUAGUGAGGCAUUUUUUUGGGGGUUCACUUGGUGCCCAAUUUGCUGGAGUCUAGACAAUGAUUGUUUUCUGGUUUAUGCAGCAUCAAUGAUGUGCUAUUGUCAAUUGACUUAGGGCAAGGAUGUAAUUGGAUUCCUGCUUUAUCUUUCUAGCUUUCCAUUCUUUUUUUAUUUCUUUCUUUUUCUUUUUGAUUUAUGCUGAUAGAUGUGGGUGUCGCAGUUUGCUCUCUGGGGAUUGUGAAUGCGUACUGGAGUUGGAGCUUUGAUGUGUUUCAGUGCGUGAUCUGCUGUUUGGGUGUCUAUGAUUUUAAUGAUGAAAAAUGUGAUCUACUAUUUCUUUGUUUUAAGUAUGGAUUUGGGAACUUAUAUUUGGAUUUGAGAUGAUUUGGAUAAAUUUUAAUAUAAGUUUAUAUUAUAUCUUAUUUAAA